rnacentral:lncRNA from 1 species
CUUAGGUUUACCAGCAAGGACAGGCAUGUACUCUCCCCAGUGCUCUCUCCCAUGCCCUUGCCAGCUGCUCCGCUAUGCAGUGAGUCCUGGAUGUCAAGGUCAAGACAGAGAAAUCCGUGCCCACUCCCCACGGGGACGAAACGCGGAUCCGCCCCACGCUGCCUGCAGUCGCCGGGCCCCACGACCCUGGGCGGGCUGCCUGACCCCUCAGCCACGGCCUCACACGCGGCGAUGGGAGCCGGGGACCCGCAACCCUGGGAGGGAGCCUCCCGCCAGCUUCUACCUGUCGAGACAGUCCGGACGCUGCAGGCGCGGCCAUCUUUUCCCGGGCGGCUGUAGGUCAAACCCAAAUGAAAAGAGACUACUGGCGCCAGAGCGCACGCGCGCGCGCCAGCGUGAUCGCUCGGCUUUCUGGGAAAUGUACGCGUCAGGAGCCCGGGAGUGUGGAGCUUGGGGUUGGAAUGCCGAGACUCGAUGCAGUGCAUGCUGGAUGCGUAGCAUGGUCUUCAUGUGGGUCCUGAACAACUGGAGCGGGGUUACCCCCAAAGCUGCUGCCUGUCUGUCCGUGGGAUGUGGUCUUCUGGCUGGGCUGCCUUGUCUGGCCUCAGUGGAAGAAGAUGCUCUUAGCCCUGCAAAGACUUGAUGUGUCAAGGCGUAACCAGCUGCUUCAGGCUCCUGCCUUGACUUCCCUGAAGUGAUAGACUGCAACCUGGGAUUGUGAGCUAAGUAAACCCUUCUCUUAGUAAGGAGACUCUUGUCAUGAGCCUGUUCCUGACUCUCCACCAGGCAUGGAGUUAGCCUGAUCCCUGAUCCCCGAUCCCCGGCUUUUGCUGCAUUUCCGACAUACAGCGUGCACUGAGCUGAUGACAUAUCUGAUGUGGUUCAAGGCUCCCGAGAGAGCUAAAAGGUACCUGAGUCUGAGGAGCCCUCAAUGGGGAAUAGCAAGCCAGACAGCUUGCUAAUGGACAGACAGAAUGAGACACCUGGCUGGCCCUUCAAAUGGGCAGAAGUUUCUUACCUUCCCAUACUUAAUGCCAGGAUUAGAAUCCAGGCCCAGAGACCAGCCCACCUCUGUCCAAUGGGACCCAAUCUCUCGGCAGCAAUUCUGGCUCUCGGUUUUUAAUCUUAGAUUCCAGUUUUCUUUGUUCCUUAAUUUUCCCUGUGGGAUGUUUUUUUUUUUUUUCCCAUAGAGCUUUGUGUGGUUCUGUUAUGGAGCAUAGAAGGAGGGCUGAUUUCUCUGUUGGGAGGUGAGGGGAGCACUCUGUCACUCUGAUGGAAUGGAUUGGAAGUGGGUGGAUGCUGGCCAACCUGUGUCCUGCUAAGAUGCAGCCUAGGGGAAUGUCCGUCCCUCACCCCCAGCUGCCUUCGCUCUGCUGGCUGCUGGUCACGUGUCCCUGUUUACCUGCACAGGCAGUCAUUAUUCACCCCUUCCCACGUACCCCCACACUUGCACACAAAGCCAGAGAGUGGCUUACAUUUUCUUUUCUUUCUUUCUUUUAUUUUUUUUUAUUUUUAUUUUUUUUUUUUAAAAGAACCUUCCCCAAACCCAUUCUAAAAUGUCAAGUGUUUCAGUUUGAGGAAAAAAAAAGCUGAAAAAACCGUGACUCAUGACAAGGCUGACAAACAGCUCUGAGGGUAUGCUGGUGAGUCACUCUGAGACUGUAGCGGCGAGGGCCAGCGGUGGGGAGAUUGUCAGGAGACCAGCCAGUAAAAUUCCACAACUCUCCCGAGCAGAGUAGGAGGUAAUUCAAAAACCCUGGGAUUUUUCCAGCUCUCAUUUCAUGUAGGACUCAGGCUGCUCUUAGAUAUGUUGAUCUCCUCAGGAAAUCAUCAAGAAUGAUUACCAAAAAUAUAAAACAAAAAAAAAAACC